rnacentral:rRNA from 1 species
UGGGGAAUAUUGGACAAUGGGCGAAAGCCUGAUCCGGCCAUGCCGCGUGUGUGAAGAAGGUCUUCGGAUUGUAAAGCACUUUAAGUUGGGAGGAAGGGCAUUUACCUAAUACGUAAGUGUUUUGACGUUACCGACAGAAUAAGCACCGGCUAACUCUGUGCCAGCAGCCGCGGUAAUACAGAGGGUGCAAGCGUUAAUCGGAAUUACUGGGCGUAAAGCGCGCGUAGGUGGUUUGUUAAGUUGGAUGUGAAAUCCCCGGGNUCAACCUGGGAACUGCAUUCAAAACUGACAAGCUAGAGUAUGGUAGAGGGUGGUGGAAUUUCCUGUGUAGCGGUGAAAUGCGUAGAUAUAGGAAGGAACACCAGUGGCGAAGGCGACCACCUGGACUGAUACUGACACUGAGGUGCGAAAGCGUGGGGANCAAAACAGGAUUAGAUACCCUGGUAGUCCACGCCGUAAAACGAUGUCAACUAGCCGUUGGGAGCCUUGAGCUCUUAGUGGCGCAGCUAACGCAUUAAGUUGACCGCCUGGGGAGUACGGCCGCAAGGUUAGAACUCAAAUGAAUUGACGGGGGUCAUAGCUGUUUCCUG